GCAGGGCCCUCCAGCGACUGUUAGCAGCAAGGAGGGCUGUGGACCUCAGUGUUAGGAAGCAUCAGAGCUGUUGCUAUGGUGACUUUGAAUGCUGGCUGACCUUGAGGAUGGUGAAUAAUCCCAAAACUCGGUUUCCAGGAAGAACCAAGAACAGUGAAGGGCAGCUGUGAAGUAAAUUGCUAUAGACUUUAGAAUAACCACAUUGGAGCAAUUAACUGACUCUGAACAAUGUAAAUUCCAUCAACACUGAUUGAUGCCCAUGGACCACCAGGGCUUGGAGUGAAGCCUGCAGGGAGGUCAGAGGCCAGCACGGAGGGCCCACCCUGGAGAAGUUCACGGCCAAGCCCACAUAUCCAUCCAAAACGGGGCAAUGUAGCCUGUACCACUGUGGGACUCAGAGAGCAUGCCUGACAAACUUUGAUCACUGAGGCAUCCAUUUCAAAGAGGCAUCCUUGGCUUCCCUCGUGGUGCAAUGGUUAAGAAGCCACCUGCCAAUGCAGGCGACAUGGGUUCAAGCCCUGAUCCAGGAAGAUCCCACAUGCCGCAGAGCAACUAAGCCCGUGCACCACAACUACUGAGCCUGUGCUCUAGACGCUGCGA